GGGGCGGGGGCACGGGGGGAACGCGAAGAACCUUACCUACUCUUGACAUCCAGAGAACUUUCCAGAGAUGGAUUGGUGCCUUCGGGAACUCUGAGACAGGUGCUGCAUGGCUGUCGUCAGCUCGUGUUGUGAAAUGUUGGGUUAAGUCCCGCAACGAGCGCAACCCUUAUCCUUUGUUGCCAGCGCGUGAUGGCGGGAACUCAAAGGAGACUGCCGGUGAUAAACCGGAGGAAGGUGGGGAUGACGUCAAGUCAUCAUGGCCCUUACGAGUAGGGCUACACACGUGCUACAAUGGCGUAUACAAAGGGAAGCGACCCUGCGAAGGCAAGCGGAACUCAUAAAGUACGUCGUAGUCCGGAUUGGAGUCUGCAACUCGACUCCAUGAAGUCGGAAUCGCUAGUAAUCGUAGAUCAGAAUGCUACGGUGAAUACGUUCCCGGGCCUUGUACACACCG
rnacentral:rRNA from 1 species